rnacentral:rRNA from 1 species
GGGGAAUAUUGCACAAUGGGCGAAAGCCUGAUGCAGCGACGCCGCGUGAAGGAUGAAGUAUUUCGGUAUGUAAACUUCUAUCAGCAGGGAAGAAAAUGACGGUACCUGACUAAGAAGCCCCGGCUAACUACGUGCC